rnacentral:rRNA from 1 species
UACGUAGGGUGCAAGCGUUAAUCGGAAUUACUGGGCGUAAAGCGUGCGCAGGCGGUUGUGCAAGACAGAUGUGAAAUCCCCGGGCUUAACCUGGGAAUUGCAUUUGUGACUGCACGGCUAGAGUGUGUCAGAGGGGGGUAGAAUUCCACGUGUAGCAGUGAAAUGCGUAGAUAUGUGGAGGAACACCGAUGGCGGAAGGCAGCCCCCUGGGUCAAGAUUGACGCUCAUGCACGAAAGCGUGGGGAGCAAACAGG